AACGAACGCUGGCGGCAUGCCUAACACAUGCAAGUCGAACGAAGGCUUCGGCCUUAGUGGCGCACGGGUGCGUAACGCGUGGGAAUCUGCCCUUUGCUUCGGAAUAACAGUUAGAAAUGACUGCUAAUACCGGAUGAUGUCGCAAGACCAAAGAUUUAUCGGCAAAGGAUGAGCCCGCGUAGGAUUAGCUAGUUGGUGGGGUAAGGGCCUACCAAGGCGACGAUCCUUAGCUGGUCUGAGAGGAUGAUCAGCCACACUGGGACUGAGACACGGCCCAGACUCCUACGGGAGGCAGCAGUGGGGGAUAUUGGACAGUGGGCGAAAGCCUGAUCCAGCAAUGCCGCGUGAGUGAUGAAGGCCUUAGGGUUGUAAAGCUCUUUUAACCGGGAUGAUAAUGACAGUACCGGGAGAAUAAGCUCCGGCUAACUCCGUG
rnacentral:rRNA from 1 species